CUCAUUCUUUGUUUCUCUUACUUCUCGUCUAGGUUAUAAAUUUGUUCCCCCAUCGAAAAAAUUUAAAGUAAAGAAAAGAAUUUCCUCUGUGUCUUCUCUACAACUCCGCCGUCUGCAAUUAGAUUCAUCUGCUUCAUCGAGGAUGACGGACCAAAGGACUUUUGUCUUGGCCUAUCCUUGUCACUACACCUAUGGAUCUGUGGGUGAAAUCGUGUCUAAGUUCGAGAAAUUGAAUUUUAAGAUCACAGAGAUGGGAUGUAUGCAUGUGAAUAAAGCUUUCGCUCGGGUGCAUGUCGAUGCAGUUGGAUUGGAUCCUGAAAAUGAUAUGAUACCCUUUGGAAAUUUGGUUUACUACUUAGCUUCCUAACCUGUUGUUGCUAUGAUUGUGGAGGGAGAGGGUGUUAUUUCGAAAGUUUGUGCUUCAAUAUCCGACAAGCAACAUCCCUUUUUGAGCUACUAAGGGGUUAGCUUAAAAGUCAUUACUAUGUUCACUAUAUCUCAUAAUAUUCUUUUUCUUGCUAGUUUAUGUUAGCCACCUUAUUAAUAAUUAGUUGGAAGGUGGGGUUUUAAACAUGGCUCUCUAGGGUUUAGGACUUGUGGUUAGUCUAUUAGCAACCGAUACGCUAUAUAUAAACUUGUCGUUGUAAAUGUGAUUAUGUUCUUAUCGAGUACCUUUUCACCACACACAAUCACGACUAUACAAAAUCCAUGUUUUUGUAGAGUACCUUUUCACAAUGUGAUUAUGCCGAACUCUUAGCACUGCAUAAUUCCAUGAUGUACUGAAAUGAUAUACACUGUUAAGUUUCAAAGAGUAGGGACGCAAGAAUACAUGGGGGUACAAAGCAUCCGGAUACUUUAUAGAACCGCAAUCAUCAGCCAGUCUCUCACUAUCCGGAACUCUGGUUUCCACUAGAAAUUUAUAUUUUAGUUUCUCUUUAGUGGCCAAUGAUUUAAGACUAACACUUGCAUGAGUUGAAGCAUGCAGCUUGUCGGAAAACAUUUGUAUCUGACAUUUAAGACAGCCCAGACCUUGGGUACUAACUCUCCAUUUUUGGGCCUACCAGAAGUCACUGAUGGCAACUGUCUAUAUGCCUGAUGAAGUACUUUUGCUUAUGUGCUUAUGAAAGCUACCAAUUCAGAGAGCUUGGUUUCUAAUUUCCUUGCUUGCGCCAUUAAUCAGUCCGACUACUUGCUAAUAUAUUUGCAUAUAUAUAAUGAAGCAGUAGUACCCCAUGGUAGUUUAAUAUAUCCAAUAUCAGCCGAGUCUUAUAUACAUUCGAGAGUUUGGGAUGUCAAUAAAUAUUCAGUAAUUGAAGAAGAUCAGGAUCUGUCUAAAGGUUAAGUCUCCAAAUACAAUGCAAGUGACUAGUUCAUAGGAAUUACUGGAGGACCUUUAUUGUGUUGCACGUUUAAUCACAAUGUUACAAAACCUCUGCCUUAUAUAUGCUUCAUAUUGUCUUUAUUUCUAUGUGACAGGAUAGAGACGGUCUAUGCCAGCUCUACAUAUGAAGAAGCGGAAAAAGAUAUUAGGAGGUGGUUUGAUUCCGUCGACUUGAAGAAGAAAAUGGAACAGAGUAAAAAGGUGGUGUAUGUGCUUCCGGAUAAGGUGCAUGGCCCAUUGGGCCAAGUUGAAGAAACAUUAAAGAAAGAUCGCAUCCUCCGGCUUCAACCGGACCUUAAUGGCAAUUUUUAUAUGGAUAAGAUGCGUGUCUUCUUAAUCAACCCUUUAGCUUUCAAGGAGCGUUGUGUUUGGUGAAAUUUUGGGUGCUAUUGAGAACAACUGUUGCAUAAAAGGCAUAAAGCUCGUGAGAAAGAAGGGCUGUCCUAGCGAGUUGUGGACUUCUGAUUCUCUUCCCUCUGAUCGUGGUGUUGCCGUGGUUGGUUACCUAGUCGAAUCAGUCUUAAAUAUCACAGCUGUGGAUCGAAUUGCCAAGGAUAUUAACUAUAUGGAUCGUGUGUUUAAUAUUGGCAGAAAAUACGUCCAACAAAGCGAAACUGGGAAAAAGGUGUUGGAACAUGCUACCAAUUUUUUCAAAUCUGGUUUUAGUGUUUGGGCGCGUCCAGGAAAGAGCAAGUUUCUCUUGGGUGGCUGUAUGUUUGAGGCUUCCAUAGUUGGUCUUGUCGAUCCGGAGUAACUUAAUUUACGUAUUUCUUUUCACUUAUUUUGUUGUUGCUGUUUUCGGUUCUACGACAGGCAAACAUGAGUCUGCGUGUUUCAAACAAUUAUUUGCAACUCUUUUUUAAAAUAUGUAUCAAUCAAAACAUGGAUACAAAAGGAUUGGUGGUAUCGCUUAGCCUGUUUUGAA